rnacentral:rRNA from 1 species
CCCUUUGAUACUCUGGGCGGUACGCGCGCUACACUGGUUUAUAUAACGUGUAAUUUGGACGAUAGUCUGUAUAAAUCACUAAUAUAAAACCGUGAAUGGGAUAGUUUAUUGCAACUUACAAACUUUAACUAGGAAUCCCUUGUAGAAGUAGUGAAUUAUACUGCUUCGAAUACGUCCCUGCCGAUUGUACACACCGCCCGUCGUUUCUUCCGACUGGUACUCAUUGUGAAUUGCGAGGAGAUUCUGUCAAAUCGUUGUAAAUGCUGGAUAUUGGAGGAAGAAAAAGUCGUAACA